CCCCCAAGAAAUUUUAACGGUGGGCGUUCAAUCCCCGCUGUUUUCUGUGGUGUGGUCCAGCUAGGCUUGAAUCUACAUCAUUUUUUUUUGGAUCAUGCCCUAAACGGAGCUGUCAAGACGGAUGGACGGCGUGGAUAAAACACAUACAUCACGGUGGGCCCCACAGAGCUCAUCACGGUGGGCCACAGGCAUUCCGCUUCCAUAGGCAACGACUGCUGAUGAGAUGAUUUUGUUGUCUUCCUCGAUCCAUCCGUGUUUCCCUUUCGUUCUCGAAAAAAGCAAAAAAAAUUCAGUGGCCGAUUCACGAAAUCUCCAAGUUCAAAACAUGAUAAAUAUCAUCAGAUCAUCUUCCUCAAAACCCAACAGAGAAAACCCAUCAAUCUCUUCCCCUCUUUUGAUUUCUCCUCUUCUGUAGAAGUAUUUGUAUAUAUUAAAGAAAUAAAAUGUUGGGAUUUUUUACAUUGCAGUGCUUGAUUGAUUUGUUGGUAGCAGGGAUUUCUCUAAUGAUUGGGCUGGGAAUCUUCGCCCUCAUUCUUUCAAUUCUCUGCUCAGCUGCUUUCUUGCACAAUGCAAAGGAGGUCUCUUAGAUAGAUAGAGAGAAAGAUAGAUUGAUUUUCUAUCCUGAGUUUAAAUAUUUGGCUUCAAUGAUGGUUUUCAGGUUUAAUCCUUGAAUCAAUGAUCCAAACUCAUGCUAGGGCGUUUCCUGUAAGCGACGUGUUUCGUCAGAAUCUGGAUGCAGUGAGAAAUGUGCAGGGGUUGGCUAGGGCGUCCUCCAGAAGCGGUGCACUGCAACAACGCCCUGGUUUCCGUGAGAAGUAAGCAAGGGUUCCUGUGCUAUUUUGGACGUAUGUGAUAAAGAAGCUAGUCCAAAAGUAUAGGAUUCUUGUUGCCACAUUGAAUAUAAGAACAUUGACAGGAAACUUACAUUCAGCGGGGGGAUUAUAAUUGAAGAAAUGGGAGUUUAGUUUGCAAGGACUAUGAAUGUAGUGUGCACUUUUGGAGCUAUGUUUUGUAGGUAUGAUUUAAGAAUGUUGUGCUACUGUUGUACUUACUGUUUUCAUUUUUCGGUCAAGUACAGAAUCAUGUUAUGAUUACAAGUAGGAAUGUUGUAUCGGGUGGACCAUGUUUCCAGUUUCGAAUUUACUUCUUGAGAGAAUAUAAGCAUUUCCACUGGUAGAACCGAA